AGCCACGGUGGCGCCCCGGGGACACCGCGACCCACCGCGACCCACUGCGUCCCGUCCGCCCUGGGCGGCCCCGUCACAACUUGGGGGUCAGCCAAGACAAACAGGCAGAGCAAGGACGGGUGGGGGGACGGACAGCACACGUGGGGGGGGCGGAGGUCCCGGGAUCACUCUUGUGGGGUUUGGGGUUGAUCCCGAGUGUGGGAUCCAUGGGUUUGGCCAUUGGGGGUCCCAACACGCCAUGGGUUUGGGAUUCAUCUGUGGGGUCAAUGGGGAUCCCAAUGCACCGCAGGUUUGGGAUCCAUCAGUUUGGAUAUUGGGGAUCCCAACACACUACGGGUUCGGGAUUCAUCUGUGGGGUCAUUGGGGAACCCAACACACCACGGGUUUGGGAUCCAUUGGUUUGACCAUUGGGGACCCCAAUGCACCACGGGUUUGGGAUCCAUCCAGUGGGACAUAGGGGACCCCAACACAUCACGGGUUUGGGAUCCAUCUGUGGGGUCAUAGGGGAUCCCAAUGCACCGCCGGUUUGGGAUCCAUGGAUUUGACCAUUGGGCCAAUGCACCACGGGCUCAGGAUCCAUCUGUGGGGUCACUGGGGAUCCCAAUACACUAUGGGUUUGGGAUCCAUUGGUUUGACCACUGGGGAUCCCAAUGCACCACGGGGUCGGGAUCCAUCUGUGGGGUCAUAGGGGAUCCCAAUGCACCAUGGGUUUGGGAUCCAUCUGCUGGGUUAUAGGGGACCCCAAUUCACGACGGGUUUGGGAUUCAUCUGUGGGGUCAUUGGGGAUCCCAAUGCACAGUGAAUUUGGGGUCCACCCCUUUGGUCUUUGGGGUUCCCAACCACACAUGAGUUUGGGGUCCGGCCCUUAGGAACCACAGAGCACCCCAAGUUGGGCUCCCAUUGCUUUGGCCAUUGGGGAUGCCAACCCCACAUCAUUUUGGGGUCCGGCCCUUCGGAACCACAGAGCACCCCAAGUUGGGGUCCCCUUGCUUUGGCCAUUGGGGAUCCCAAAUGCACCCCGACAUUACAAAUCCCAAUGCAGUGUGGAUCCAUCCAUGGGGUUAAUGGGGAUCCCAACACACCCCAAGUUUGGGAUCGGGCCAUGAUGGACCCCGGGACACCCCAAAUUGGGGUCCCAUUGCUUUGGCCAUUGGGGAUCCCAACCCCACAUGACUUUGGGGUCCACCCCUUUGGCCAUUGGGGUUCCCAACCCCACAUCAUUUUGGGGUCCAGACCUUAGGAACCACACAGCACCCCAAGUUGGGUUCCCAUUGCUUUGGCCAUUGGGGAUCCCAAUGCACAGUGAAUUUGGGGUCCACCCCUUUGGAACCACAGAGCACCCCAAGUUGGGCUCCCAUUGCUUUGGCCAUUGGGGAUCCCAACCCCACAUCAUUUUGGGGUCCACCCCUUUGAUCUAUGGGGCUCCCACCCCACAUGAUUUUGGGGUCCGUCCAUGACGGCUCCCGGGACACCCCAACUUUGCCUCCCAUCGCUUUGCCCAUUUGGGGUCCCCCCCUCCCUCCGCUCUUCGGCACCGCACCGCACCGCACCGCCCCACCCGCGGG
ensembl:lncRNA